rnacentral:rRNA from 1 species
GGGACACGUGUAAUCCUGUCUGAAUAUGGGGGGACCAUCCUCCAAGGCUAAAUACUCGUAAUCGACCGAUAGCGAACAAGUACCGUGAGGGAAAGGCGAAAAGAACCCCGGGAGGGGAGUGAAAUAGAUCCUGAAACCGCAUGCAUACAAAAAGUCGGAGCCCGCAAGGGUGACGGCGUACCUUUUGUAUAAUGGGUCAGCGACUUACAUUCAGUGGCAAGCUUAACCGAAUAGGGAAGGCGCAGGGAAACCGAGUCCGAAUAGGGCGUUCAGUCGCUGGGUGUAGACCCGAAACCAGGUGAUCUAUCCAUGGCCAGGAUGAAGGUACCGUAACAGGUGCUGGAGGUCCGAACCGACUAGUGUUGCAAAACUAGCGGAUGAGCUGUGGAUAGGGGUGAAAGGCUAAACAAACCUGGAGAUAGCUGGUUCUCUCCGAAAACUAUUUAGGUAGUGCCUCAAGUAUUACCAUCGGGGGUAGAGCACUGUUAUGGCUAGGGGGUCAUGGCGACUUACCAAACCAUUGCAAACUCCGAAUACCGAUGAGUACAGCUUGGGA